AUUGAACGCUAGCGGGAUGCUUUACACAUGCAAGUCGAACGAGUGGCGGACGGGUGAGCAAUAUAUCGGAAUGUGCCCAGUAGCGGGGGAUAACUACCCGAAAGAGUGGCUAAUACCGCAUACUAGUGGAUCGGUCGUUAUCGGAAUAGGUAGUUGGUGGGGUAAAGGCUCACCAAGGCCACGAUCCGUAGCUGGUUUGAGAGGACGACCAGCCACACUGGGACUGAGACACGGCCCAGACUCCUACGGGAGGCAGCAGUGGGGAAUUUUGGACAAUGGGGGAAACCCUGAUCCAGCCAUCCCGCGUGUAUGAGAAGGCCUUCGGGUUGUAAAGUACUUUUGGCAGGGAAGCGGUAUCUGCAGAAUAAGCACCGGCUAACUACGUGCCAGCCGCCGCGGUAAUUC
rnacentral:rRNA from 1 species